GGUGGCUCAGUGGUAGAGUGCUUGCCCUGUAUGCAUGAGGACCUGGGUUCGAUUCCUCAGCACCA
rfam:Dipodomys ordii contig_13547, whole genome shotgun sequence.